GUGAAAAUACUCACUUAUUAAAUAUACUGAUGGAAAAUACAACCACUCAUCAUAGUGGUGCCCUUUUUUUCUAGAUGAUCAUAAUUAAUCAAUUACAAAUUUAUGAGAAAGAAACACCUGGCACACUUCCAUAAACAAAUAGAUUUCCUGUGGUUUUAAGAACAGUUGAGGGUAUUACAAAGGGUCAGGGCGAUCUGUGAGUAAAGCUCUUUUCACAGUUUGACUUCCCCCACAUCCCUGUUUCUCAUAAAUAUGCACCCUUACACCCAACAUACAUGUAUGUAUUUACUUACUCAGCAGGCACAUGUUGCAAAGGCUAUGGAGAAACAAAGAAUGUAAAGGAGAAAGAGAAAAAUUGAACUUAAAAACAUAUGCAUAUUUAAAACAUUGUGUUUUUAAAAAUAUAUUUUUCAAAGGACCAUAAGUCUAAACCAAAGAAGAUGAAAAAUGGAAGUUUUAUGAGUAAGAAAGAUACAGCUUAAUGCCUCCAACUGAGGUGAUUUUAUCCUACAAGUUAGUGCCGGCCAUCGGUGUUGGAUCCAAGGCACUGAUAAAAGAAGGAUGCUCCGAUACUUCCUUCAGCUGCUCUUCCAGACCUACUUUCUCACCCUUGACUACAAUUUUGUGGAAGAAUCUACUGAGGCUCUUGCAGUUCUCUGCUCUUCUUUUCUGAAAUAGAGACCUCAAGAACAAAGAGAACUCCAGUCAUCUCUUCUAUAAGUUCUGGCUGUAGUCCAAAAGUUCAAAGGAACGGUGGAAGGAAAGAAGGAAGGAAGGAAAGAAAGAAGGAAGGAAGAAAGGAAGGAAGGAAAAGAAGGAAAGACAUGCCCUCUCUCUUCAAGGUAGAAAGGACUCCCUAAAGCUUCUACACAAUAUACAUUCUCUUACAUCUUAUUACCCAGAAAGUACUUACAUGGUUACACGUAGCUGCAGAGAAGGCUGGAAAAUAGCUUCAUUCUGGAUGGCUUUAUCCUCAUGUAUAAGUUGUAGGAGGAGAAAAGAUUUUCCUUGCCCCUGUGAGGGUACCUGGCUAGGUCUACAAGGCAAACUAACAGAUAAAUUAUCAGGAGAAAAACUUUCAGAUUUUAAAAAGCACGUUUUAUGCCACACAGGAAUUUUCAUAAGGAAAUAAGAAUCCAAAUAAAUGGUUAAAUUUGUGAGUUUUUAUGCAAGGUUUAAUGAAGAAGGAGGCAGUCUUGGAGAAAUAGGACUGGACAAAGGGGUUAUGAUCUAAUGAUGAUAAACGGAAGGAAUCCUACCAAGGCUGUGUGUUCAGAUUCUCUCUGUGUCCCUGUGUCUUCAGAGAUAUGGAUAUUCCUUUUCUCUAAGUAUAGGAGGGCACUUCUCAAAUGAAGAUCUUAUGACUUGCUUCCAGGGAGAAGGGUUGGGGAAUGUGAGACUGACCUUCCUGUUUCUGCUUUUUUCUCAAAUGCCAAGAUGUCAUAUUUUGGGGUCGUAUGUCCUGAACCCUUUCAAAAUCAAUAUAGAUUAAAAACAAUAAUAUUUUAGGGGAUUUAAUUAGUGGCCUCUAAUAUCUACUAUCUUGUCAAUUAUAGCUUUAACAAUUUUCACGUCUCUUUUCUCUCUCCAUUGCCUUUACAACUGCCUUGAUUUAAUGUAUCACCAUCCCAGAAAGCAAAUGCAAAGAAAUUUGGUCUCAGCAUUGCAGAUAAAGUCAGCUUUCUAGAACACAUACCUAAUCAUUAACUUAUCAGCUAAAAAUCCUUCCUUAAAUCUUUCGUGCUGUAACUUCUAUAUUUCUUAUUAUAAAGGGCAAAAAUUGCCCUCUGCAAUACAAACUGAACCUCAUUACAUAGCCUUACCUCCCAAGAGUCUGUGACUUGUCUUCUAGCCACGU
rnacentral:lncRNA from 1 species